GGACCCGCACAAGUAGUGGAGCAUGUGGUUUAAUUCGAAGAUACGCGCAGAACCUUACCAACACUUGACAUGUUCGUCGCGACUCUAAGAGAUUAGAGUUUUCGGUUCGGCCGGACGAAACACAGGUGCUGCAUGGCUGUCGUCAGCUCGUGUCGUGAGAUGUUGGGUUAAGUCCCGCAACGAGCGCAACCCUCACUUUUAGUUGCCAUCAUUAAGUUGGGCACUCUGAAAGAACUGCCAGUGAUAAGCUGGAGGAAGUGGGGAUGACGUCAAGUCCUCAUGGCCCUUACGUGUUGGGCUACACACGUGCUACAAUGGUAUCUACAACAGGAAGCAAAACUGCGAGGUUAAGCAAAUCCCUAAAAGAUACCUCAGUUCGGAUUGCACUCUGCAACUCGAGUGCAUGAAGCUGGAAUUACUAGUAAUCGU
rnacentral:rRNA from 1 species